rfam:Kwoniella mangroviensis CBS 10435 unplaced genomic scaffold supercont2.2, whole genome shotgun sequence.
GCCCUUGUAGCUCAAUGGCUAGAGCAUGCGACUUUUACCUGUGUGUGAUCCUUCACGGCAUAUCGCAAGGCUGUGGGUUCGAGCCCCACCAAGGGCU